rnacentral:rRNA from 1 species
UGGGGAAUCUUGCGCAAUGGGCGAAAGCCUGACGCAGCAACGCCGCGUGGGGGAUGACGGCCUUCGGGUUGUAAACCCCUUUCAGCAGGAACGAAUCUGACGGUACCUGCAGAAGAAGCCCCGGCCAACUACGUGCCAGCAGCCGCGGUAACACGUAGGGGGCGAGCGUUGUCCGGAUUUAUUGGGCGUAAAGAGCUCGUAGGCGGUUCAGUAAGUCGGGUGUGAAAACUCUGGGCUCAACCCGGAGACGCCACCCGAUACUGCUGUGACUCGAGUCCGGUAGGGGAGUGUGGAAUUCCUGGUGUAGCGGUGAAAUGCGCAGAUAUCAGGAGGAACACCAGCGGCGAAGGCGGCACUCUGGGCCGGUACUGACGCUGAGGAGCGAAAGCGUGGGUAGCAAACAGGAUUAGAUACCCCCGUAGUCC